GACAGGAGGAUGCAAGCGUUAUCCGGAAUGAUUGGGCGUAAAGCGUCUGUAGGUGGCUUUUUAAGUCCGCCGUCAAAUCCCAGGGCUCAACCCUGGACAGGCGGUGGAAACUACCAAGCUGGAGUACGGUAGGGGCAGAGGGAAUUUCCGGUGGGAGCGGGUGAAAGUGACUGGUGAGAGAGUCGGAAAAGAACACCCAACGGCGAA
rnacentral:rRNA from 1 species